GUGAAAAAUAGAUGAACUAAGAGAAAAAGAAUCUGACGCUCUUUUUAGCUGAUUCUGGACAUAUGCAUUAUUGAUGUUGCAGUGUUAAAACUACAAGCGUUAGAAAGUUGAAGAUGUUGUCUGUUUACGGAAGCUCUGAAAGACUAGGGUGUGAUUUAUUAACGACCAGCUUCCGUUAUUGUGUGUUAAGUUUUUCAUCUGUGCGUCAAAUCACAAAGAAUAAAUAGAACUUUUUCCUUUAUCAGUCCCUUGGGCACAGCAGGUCAGGAACACCCUGCUCAGAAUGUUGCAUCAGGACUUCAAACAUCAAAAUAAAAACCAUGAGGAGGAAAUCCCCAUCUUGUCACUUGAGUCCCUUCAGUCUACAGGGACUGGUUACAGCUUUUUGCUAAUAGGAAGAUCACAUUAUUAGAAAAUGUGGAGUAAACUAUUUGCCUGUGGUAGACACCUGCACGCAUAGGAUUGAAGACAGUACCGGCUCCUGUACAGAGAAGCGUCUCUCACAUCUGAACUGCAUGCUGAGUGGGCAAGUUGGUUGUAAGUUCAGAAAAAGCCUCCGAUAAUGCAAAAAAAAAAAAAACAGUAUUAAGUUUCACAAGCUGUUUGUAAUCAAAAAUAUUUUCUCAGUUUCAGAUGCUCUGCUAUUUUAUUGAGUGGAAAGUCUUGC
rnacentral:lncRNA from 1 species